CAAGGACAACAUGCCCAAACUCGAAACCAAAAUACUGAAGAGUGCAAGCUCAUUCUCAAGUCAUCUAUGUUCCUCAUUCAAACGUGUAACUUGCUUCUCCUGACCUAACAUACUCUGCCGCACCAGAAAUAGCCUCCGGAGGAGGUCCAUUCACGUCCAUUCAUACAUCAAAGUGUUUGUCUCUUGUUCUUCUUUCAUAAUACAUCAUCCAUUUUUACCUAAUCGUCCUCCAUAAUCUAAAUCGAAGCAAAAGGAAGAAAAACCCUAAAACUACAAAUUGCAAUUAAACAAUGAAGGAAAAAUAAUUUGAGCCUAAACCUUAGGGGUUUGUCUCCCAAGGACGACCUCUACAUUUUGGUAAGGAGAUUUAAGCGAGGAGAUAAAGUUUAACCAACCUACGAGACUGAGAUGCGUCCUGGUGCUCGUUGCAAAUGGUGAAGGUGAUGAUGGAGCAAGAAUUCUAGAGACUCCAGAGUCAAUGGGCCAUUACUAAUUUGGUGGAGUGAUCAUGGCUUGAAAAGGUAUCAUUAAAGAAUGGCACACAAAAUUGGUAUGGCAUGGGAGCAUGGCACCAAAGCAUGAAGAAUCUUGAAGUUAUAGGAGUGAAAUGAGUUGGCUUGUAAAUGAGGAAUUAUGGGUAAGGAUUAGAAAUAGUAGUUGACUUUGGUCAACUGUUUGACCAAAAACUCAACAAUUGACCAAAGUCAAAUGUUAGGUCAACAUGUGAUAACUUGUAUGGAAUUUUGUGAUUUUGUAUUCCUUAUAAGGUGACUUGAAUGUAAAAGGCCUUUUUGUA